rnacentral:rRNA from 1 species
UUAAAUUGAAGAGUUUGAUCAUGGCUCAGAUUGAACGCUGGCGGCAGGCCUAACACAUGCAAGUCGAACGGUAACAGGAAUCAGCUUGCUGAUUCGCUGACGAGUGGCGGACGGGUGAGUAAUGUCUGGGAAACUGCCUGAUGGAGGGGGAUAACUACUGGAAACGGUAGCUAAUACCGCAUAACGUCGCAAGACCAAAGAGGGGGACCUUCGGGCCUCUUGCCAUCGGAUGUGCCCAGAUGGGAUUAGCUAGUAGGUGGGGUAACGGCUCACCUAGGCGACGAUCCCUAGCUGGUCUGAGAGGAUGACCAGCCACACUGGAACUGAGACACGGUCCAGACUCCUACGGGAGGCAGCAGUGGGGAAUAUUGCACAAUGGGCGCAAGCCUGAUGCAGCC